rnacentral:rRNA from 1 species
CUCGUAGGCGGUUCGUCGCGUCCGGUGUGAAAGUCCAUCGCUUAACGGUGGAUCCGCGCCGGGUACGGGCGGGCUUGAGUGCGGUAGGGGAGACUGGAAUUCCCGGUGUAACGGUGGAAUGUGUAGAUAUCGGAAAGAACACCAAUGGCGAAGGCAGGUCUCUGGGCCGUCACUGACGCUGAGGAGCGAAAGCGUGGGGAGCGAACA